rnacentral:rRNA from 1 species
CGAAAUCGGCAUUGACAUUUCGGUGGCGGUGAGUAAAAUGCUCACUCUCUCGCAAACGGCACAGGCCACAGCGGGAACGCUCUUUAACAAGUCGAUCAGGCAAUUUGUGUGGGCGUCUGGUUCGCGACGGUGCGGCACAGCAUCAUCGGAAACAGACGACUCGUCAAAAUGCGAGUUUUCGUUCCGAGUCAGGAUUGAUCCGCCACGAUGGUCUCGACCAUCGGUCAGGAUCGCAGACUUUCAACUGAAGAGUUUGAUCAUGGCUCAGAUUGAACGCUGGCGGCAGGCUUAACACAUGCAAGUCGAGCGGCAGCGGACCCUUCGGGGUGCCGGCGAGCGGCGGACGGGUGAGUAAUGCAUGGGAAUCUGCCCGGUAGUGGGGGAUAACCCGGGGAAACCCGGGCUAAUACCGCAUACCUCCCACGGGAGAAAGCAGGGGAUCUUCGGACCUUGCGCUAUCGGAUGAGCCCAUGUCGGAUUAGCUUGCUGGUGAGGUAACGGCUCACCAGGGCUGCGAUCCGUAGCUGGUUUGAGAGAAUGAUCAGCCACACCGGGACUGAGACACGGCCCGGACUCCUACGGGAGGCAGCAGUGGGGAAUAUUGGACAAUGGGCGAAAGCCUGAUCCAGCCAUGCCGCGUGUGUGAAGAAGGCCCUCGGGUUGUAAAGCACUUUCAGCGGGGAAGAAGGCGUGGCGGUUAAUACCCGCCACGAAGGACAUCACCCGCAGAAGAAGCACCGGCUAACUCCGUGCCAGCAGCCGCGGUAAUACGGAGGGUGCAAGCGUUAAUCGGAAUUACUGGGCGUAAAGGGCGCGUAGGCGGCCUGUCACGCCGGGUGUGAAAGCCCCGGGCUCAACCCGGGAACGGCAUCCGGAACGGGCAGGCUCGAGUGCAGGAGAGGAAGGUAGAAUUCCCGGUGUAGCGGUGAAAUGCGUAGAGAUCGGGAGGAAUACCAGUGGCGAAGGCGGCCUUCUGGACUGACACUGACGCUGAGGCGCGAAAGCAUGGGUAGCAAACAGGAUUAGAUACCCUGGUAGUCCAUGCCGUAAACGAUGUCGACCAGCCGUUGGCCUCCUCGAGAGGCUGGUGGCGCAGUUAACGCGCUAAGUCGACCGCCUGGGGAGUACGGCCGCAAGGCUAAAACUCAAAUGAAUUGACGGGGGCCCGCACAAGCGGUGGAGCAUGUGGUUUAAUUCGAUGCAACGCGAAGAACCUUACCUGCCCUUGACAUCCCGGGAAUCCGCCGGAGACGGCGGAGUGCCUUCGGGAACCCGGAGACAGGUGCUGCAUGGCUGUCGUCAGCUCGUGUUGUGAAAUGUUGGGUUAAGUCCCGUAACGAGCGCAACCCCUAUCCCCAUUUGCCAGCGGUCCGGCCGGGAACUCUGGGGAGACUGCCGGUGACAAACCGGAGGAAGGUGGGGACGACGUCAAGUCAUCAUGGCCCUUACGGGCAGGGCUACACACGUGCUACAAUGGCGAGUACAAAGGGUUGCGAAGCGGCGACGUGAAGCCAAUCCCGUAAAGCUCGCCUCAGUCCGGAUUGGAGUCUGCAACUCGACUCCAUGAAGUCGGAAUCGCUAGUAAUCGCGUAUCAGAAUGGCGCGGUGAAUACGUUCCCGGGCCUUGUACACACCGCCCGUCACACCAUGGGAGUGGACUGCACCAGAAGCGGUUAGCCCAACCUUCGGGAGGGCGACCGCCACGGUGUGGUUCACGACUGGGGUGAAGUCGUAACAAGGUAGCCGUAGGGGAACCUGCGGCUGGAUCACCUCCUUA